GCCCGGGUGGCGGAAGUGGUAGACGCAGUGGGCUUAAACCCCGCGGCCCUUCGGGGCGUACAGGUUCGAUUCCUGUCCCGGGCACCG
rnacentral:tRNA from 1 species